rnacentral:sRNA from 1 species
CGCUGCUUGCAGUGCAAUCCACGUAGUCAGUCCGGUAGUUCUCCAGUAUCUCGGAAGUUACUCCCGUAGUGCCACGUUCAGGAAUGAGCUGCAAACGAUCGCAAUUCAACUACUACGAGGUAUUUACGUGAUUACAGGAACAGUGAAGUGGUUUAACGAGAGCAAGGGUUUUGGUUUCAUCACCCCGAACGACGGCGGCAAGGACGUGUUUGUACACUUCUCCGCCAUCCAGGGCAGCGGCUUCAAGACGCUGGCGGAAGGCCAGAAAGUAACCUUCAAGCUGGAGCAGGGUCCGAAGGGCCCGUCCGCUACAGACGUUCAGCCGGUUUAAAUACUGCACCAACAGGUUUGAACAUGAGACCCCGCCAACCGGCGGGGUCUUUUUU